rnacentral:rRNA from 1 species
AUUGAACGCUGGCGGCAGGCCUAACACAUGCAAGUCGAGCGAGCGGCGGACGGGUGAGUAAUGUAUGGGAAACUGCCCGAUGGAGGGGGAUAACUACUGGAAACGGUAGCUAAUACCGCAUACCAUCGGAUGUGCCCAGAUGGGAUUAGCUACUAGGUGGGGUAAAGGCUCACCUAGGCGACGAUCCCUAGCUGGUCUGAGAGGAUGACAAGCCACACGGGAACUGGGACACGGCCCAGACUCCUACGGGAGGCAGCAGUGGGGAAUAUUGCACAAUGGGCGCAAGCCUGAUGCAGCCAUGCCGCGUGUAUGAAGAAGGCCUUAGGGUUGUAAAGUACUUUCAGCGGGGAGGCGUUACUCGCAGAAGAAGCACCGGCUAACUCCGUGCCAGCAGCCGCGGUAAUAC